UACGGGGGGGGCAAGCGUUGUUCGGAAUUACUGGGCGUAAAGGGCUCGUAGGCGGCCAACUAAGUCGGAUGUGAAAUCCCCAAGCUUAACUUGGGAACUGCAUCCGAUACUGGAUGGCUUGAAUCCGGGAGAGGGAUGCAGAAUUCCAGGUGUAGCGGUGAAAUGCGUAGAUAUCUGGAGGAAUACCGGUGGCGAAGGCGGCAUCCUGGACCGGCAUUGACGCUGAGGAGCGAAAGCUAGGGGAGCAACGGG
rnacentral:rRNA from 1 species